GGGUGCCGUCUGUCUGCCUGUCCGUGUCGUGGGUGCCGUCUGUCUGUCUGUCCGUGUCGUGGGUGCCGCCUAUCUGUCCGCGUCGUGGGUGCCGUCUGUCUCAGAGCUCACAGGUCUCGGAAUAGUCGGUGAUCCCGACGACGACAAGAAGAGCUCGGGGGGUCGGGCGGGGGCGCAGCGGGUUAAGCGCAGGUGGCACAAAGCACAAGGACCGGUGUGAGGAUCCUGGUUCGAGCCCCCGGCUCCCCACCUGCAGGGGAGUCGCUUCACAGGCGGUGAAGCAGGUCUGCAGGUGUCUGUCUUUCUCUCCCCCUCUCUGUCUUCCCCUCCUCUCUCCAUUUCUCUCUGUCCUAGCCAACAACAACA